rnacentral:rRNA from 1 species
UGAGUAACACGUAUCCAACCUGCCGUCUACUCUUGGACAGCCUUCUGAAAGGAAGAUUAAUACAAGAUGGCAUCAUGAGUUCACAUGUUCACAUGAUUAAAGGUAUUCCGGUAGACGAUGGGGAUGCGUUCCAUUAGAUAGUAGGCGGGGUAACGGCCCACCUAGUCUUCGAUGGAUAGGGUUCUGAGAGGAAGGUCCCCCACAUUGGAACUGAGACACGGUCAA